rnacentral:misc_RNA from 1 species
AAAAUAAAAAUAAAAAACCCACAAUGUACCAAAAACAAAUAAAUCACAAAAUUACAAAAAGUAAUUUAAAGUAUUAGAAAAAACAAAUCUCGUCCGUCCAUCAAAAGAACAAGACACGUGUUAGUACACGUGUCACCUCUACAUCAAAGCAGCAGCGAUGAUCACGCCAGCGAACGCAGCACCGCCAAUGACGGCUCUGUUACCGGCGUUAGGCGACGACGGUGUGUUGUCGGCAGAAGGCUGAUCCGCCGGUGCACCACCGGUAGGAGUAGGUGCUGGUGGUGAAACGACGCCGGCACCGGAUGGUCCCGGCGAUGGAGAAGUUGCGGAAGCAGCCGGAGAUGGAGUUGGUGAAGUAGUAGGAGCGGUAGAAGGUGCCGACCGCAACUCCAACUCCAUCUCCAACUCCGACACCAACUCCGGCACCUUCUA